rnacentral:rRNA from 1 species
GACGAACGCUGGCGGCGUGCUUAACACAUGCAAGUCGAACGGAAAGGCCCUGCUUUUGUGGGGUGCUCGAGUGGCGAACGGGUGAGUAACACGUGAGUAACCUGCCCUUGACUUUGGGAUAACUUCAGGAAACUGGGGCUAAUACCGGAUAGGAGCUCCUGCUGCAUGGUGGGGGUUGGAAAGUUUCGGCGGUUGGGGAUGGACUCGCGGCUUAUCAGCUUGUUGGUGGGGUAGUGGCUUACCAAGGCUUUGACGGGUAGCCGGCCUGAGAGGGUGACCGGCGACAUUGGGACUGAGAGACGGCCCAGACGGCUACGGGAGGCAGCAGUGGGGAAUAUUGCACAAUGGGCGGAAGCCUGAUGCAGCAGCGCCGCGUGCGGGAUGACGGCCUUCGGGUUGUAAACCGCUUUCGCCUGUGACGAAGCGUGAGUGACGGUAAUGGGUAAAGAAGCACCGGCUAACUACGUG